AGCCAUGCCCAGCUAUUGAUGAGGUCCAAAAUGAGACUGAUAAUACUUGCAAAGCGUCUACAUCAACCACAUUAUCCUGUGUCAUAUGUUGGACAGACUUCAGUUCAUCCAGGGGGGUGCUUCCCUGUGGUCAUCGUUUUUGUUUCUCAUGCAUCCAGACGUGGGCCAAUCAUAUGGCAUCAAGCAGAAAAGUAUCAACAUGCCCUUUGUGCAAGGCUAGUUUUGUUGCCAUUAGAAAGGUUGAUGAUG
rnacentral:misc_RNA from 1 species